AUUUUAGCAAAAAUAUUUCCUCUACACACUAGUAAUAAUGCUGCCAGUGUGUAGAGGAAAUAUUUUUGCUAAAAU